AUUGAACGCUGGCGGCAGGCCUAACACAUGCAAGUCGAGCGGAUGAAGGGAGCUUGCUCCUGGAUUCAGCGGCGGACGGGUGAGUAAUGCCUAGGAAUCUGCCUGGUAGUGGGGGAUAACGUCCGGAAACGGGCGCUAAUACCGCAUACGUCCUGAGGUAGAAAGUGGGGGGUCUUCGGACCUCACGCUAUCAGAUGAGCCUAGGUCGGAUUAGCUAGGUGGUGGGGUAAAGGCCUACCAAGGCGACGAUCCGUAACUGGUCUGAGAGGAUGAUCAGUCACACUGGAACGGGGGCACGGUCAGGACUACUGCGGGAGGCAGCAGUGGGGAAUAUUGGACGAUGGGCGCAAGCCUGAUCCAGCCAUGCCGCGUGUGUGCAGAAGGUCUUCAGAUUGUAAAGCACUUUAAGUUGGGAGGAAGGGAAGUAAGUUAAUACCUUGCUGUUUUGACGUUACCAACAGAAUAAGCACCGGCUAACUUCGUG
rnacentral:rRNA from 1 species